UGGAUACCAGAGUCAACAAUACUGCAGUGCACUGAAGGAUCUCUACAGGCAUAGAGAGAUCCUUCAAUGCACUGCAGUAUUGUUGACUCUGGUAUCCAGUGGGU
rnacentral:miRNA from 1 species